UACGUAGGUGGCAAGCGUUGUCCGGAUUUAUUGGGUUUAAAGGGCGCGUAGGCGGUCCAUUAAGUCAGUUGUGAAAUACGGCAGCUUAACUGUCGAGGUGCAAUUGAUACUGGAGGACUUGAGUACAGACGAGGUAGGCGGAAUUGACGGUGUAGCGGUGAAAUGCGUAGAUAUCGGGAGGAACACCAGUGGCGAAGGCGGCUUCCUGGCCUGUUCUUGACGCUGAGGCGCGAAAGCUAGGGGAGCAAACGGG
rnacentral:rRNA from 1 species